CUGCAUCUUGUCGCAUAGGCUUUAGCAGAGGAGUGUUGAUCGCGCGCCUUUUUCUGCUUGUGACGAACCUCUAAAUCACCUGAUACUUUAUGGUGUGCUUGUGUAUGUCUGUACACCUCUACCCCCUCUCACGAUAAAACUCACGCACCCCACGCACUGCUGCACUGUCGCACUUACAAACUCGAGAAAGAUGAUACACGUGGGCAACUGCUAUAUUCCGUGGGAAGUGUUCACGCUCGCGGAGCUGCGCGCUGUCUCUUGCCAAAUUGUCUUACUCGCCAUUUGGGGUGCUGUGGUGGGCCCACUUUGCCGCCGCGGCGUUGCUGGGGUCGCUUUCUUGGCUUGCUACACGGUCGGCAUGUUCUUCUUCCAACGGCGCCUCGCCUCCGGACUCCCGGUGCGCUUUCUUUCUCUGCGUGCAUGGCGGUCGUCGCCCGAAAACUUCAGAAAGACGUCGGCGUUCCUGAAGGCGCUGAAAUCAAAGACACCCGCUGCCGGUGUUUCAGCGGAGGGAUUUGGUGCGCGCCCGGUUGUGGUGAUGACCGGUGGAGAACGUGGAAUCGGCGAAGAGGUUGUGCACCAGCUUCUGCGCGAGGGCGUGGACGUUAUCCUUUGCUGCCCAUUCGAAGCGGAGGCGCUGCGCACCAUCGCGAGGCUGAAAGCUUGCGUCUCGAAUUCGCGGGUGCAUUUUGCGAAGCUGGACCUCAACGACGAGGAAAGUGUGCGCGGGUGUGCCGCGGAGGUGCUGGGUAUGACGCCGCGGAUUGACGUGCUCAUCAACAACGCCGGAUUGGUCAGCCCGUUCGCGUACAGGCUGAACAAGCGCGGCUACGAGGUGGUACUGUCGAUCAACUUUCUCGGCCACGUUCUCUUCACAGAGCUCCUGCUGGAGCGGGUGAAGGCAAGUGGCCCCUCCCGCAUUGUCAACGUGGCAUCGCUCAUGCAUCUCGAUGCGUGUGUGCCAGGUCCAUGCAAGACCGCGCUCGACGUCAUGGCCGCCAACUGCGACCCCACAUCACCCCAUCACACGCACAACUACAGCCUUUCGAAGUUGCUCCUCGUGUGCUACACCCGCGAUUUGGCGAGGCAUCUCCGCGGAACGGACACUGCGGUGGUAGCGCUGCACCCGGGUGUGGUGCUCACGGACAUCUACGCCUUUGGGGCCAUCUUUAUGAAGGCCUUCUUACGGACAGUGUUCAAGUUUCCUGGUGAGGGCGCCGAGGUGGUCCUCUACUGCGCCUUGGCGGACAAUAUUCGCAGUGGAUCUUUCUACGCGGACUGCGCGGAGUACAACAGUCUCCUCUCUCCGCUCGCUGUCGAUGACGCACACAACGAGCGCCUCCGACGCGUGCUGCUGCGCUACUUUACACUGGACGGCUCCAAGCCGACUGGCAAGUUGCUAGCGGAUGUCGUGCAGUCGACGCCGUGAUCGGCGGUGCACGAAACUCCGCGUCUGAUGAACCGGCGGCGGCGGUAUGCACAACAAAGGUGCUAUGUGCACAAUUCCGAAGCCUACUCUUCUCCCCACCCAUCAAACUCAGCAUACGGCGCUGCAUGGGUGCGGGAUGGGCAAGGCACUUCAAAGAAAUGCUCCGCAUGUCCCUUAUGCUGGCAGGGUCGGCGAUCGUGCUGCGGCGCCAGAGGACUGCGGCGACAAGAGCAAUAAUACUUGCGUUUUACUCUCCCGUCUGUUGUCCCUUCUUUAAUUCGUCCCCAUCUCAUCUUUCUUUCUUAACGUUCAUGUGCAUAUAGGCACUGAACACUCCGCCUUUUCCACCACGCCUUUCCAUGUUCUCUCGUUUUUUGUGUAUGCUCUAUCACUGAUAUUGGUCUUGCCCUACACGACCUGGUCCUCUCUUUUAGACCAAGCUAUGUGCACCUCUCUCUCGUUGUAUCUUUCCCUCCCUCUCUCACUGGCCGUGCGGUCUCUCAGGAGUGUGACCGGGUCGUAUAAUGUGGCAGUGCGCGUGGUCGACAUGCAGUUGGCUGCUUUUGCGCAGGAUGGAAGUAUUGGCAUCGCAGAUCAGUGCAGACGGAGAGGAGAUGUGCGGCUCACACGAACACUGGUGCACCUUACUUUCAUUGCGUGCCUCUUCCCCCUCCUGUGCGAGGUGGCCGAGCGCAUGAGCCGGCACUGACCGUUCAACAGUUUUGGGUACUGAAAGCAAAACAAAUAUAAGCAUACACG
rnacentral:misc_RNA from 1 species